AUUGAACGCUGGCGGCAUGCCUUACACAUGCAAGUCGAACGGCAGCAUGGAGAGCUUGCUCUCUGAUGGCGAGUGGCGAACGGGUGAGUAAUGCAUCGGAACGUACCGUGUAAUGGGGGAUAACGUAGCGAAAGUUACGCUAAUACCGCAUACGACCCGAGGGGGAAAGCAGGGGAUCGCAAGACCUUGCGUUAUACGAGCGGCCGUGGUCCGAUUAGCUAGUUGGAGAGGUAAAGGCUCACCAAGGCGACGAUCUGUAGCGGGUCUGAGAGGAUGAUCGGCCACACUGGGACUGAGACACGGCCCAGACUCCUACGGGAGGCAGCAGUGGGGAAUUUUGGACAAUGGGGGCAACCCUGAUCCAGCCAUGCCGCGUGAGUGAAGAAGGCCUUCGGGUUGUAAAGCUCUUUCGGCCGGGAAGAAAUCGCACAGGCUAAUACUCUGUGUGGAUGACGGUACCGGCAUAAGAAGCACCGGCUAACUACGUGCCAGCAGCCGCCGUAA
rnacentral:rRNA from 1 species